CCUACGUGGGGCAGCAGUGAGGAAUAUUGGUCAAUGGGCGCGAGCCUGAACCAGCCAAGUAGCGUGAAGGAUGACUGCCCUACGGGUUGUAAACUUCUUUUAUAAAGGAAUAAAGUGAGGCACGUGUGCCUUUUUGUAUGUACUUUAUGAAUAAGGAUCGGCUAACUCCGUGCCAGCAGCCGCGGUAAUACGGAGGAUCCGAGCGUUAUCCGGAUUUAUUGGGUUUAAAGGGAGCGUAGAUGGGUUGUUAAGUCAGUUGUGAAAGUUUGCGGCUCAACCGUAAAAUUGCCAUUGAUACUGGCAGUCUUGAGUACAGUUGAGGUAGGCGGAAUUCGUGGUGUAGCGGUGAAAUGCUUAGAUAUCACGAAGAACUCCGAUUGCGAAGGCAGCUUACUAAACUGCCACUGACAUUGAUGCUCGAAAGUGUGGGUAUCAAACAGGAUUAGAUACCCUUGUAGUC
rnacentral:rRNA from 1 species